AGAGUUUGAUCCUGGCUCAGGACGAACGCUGGCGGCGUGCUUAACACAUGCAAGUCGAACGGAAAGGCCCUUCGGGGUACUCGAGUGGCGAACGGGUGAGUAACACGUGGGUGAUCUGCCCUGCACUUUGGGAUAAGCCUGGGAAGCUGGGUCUAAUACCGAAUAUGACCAUGCACUUCCUGGUGUGUGGUGGAAAGCUUUUGCGGUGUGGGAUGGGCCCGCGGCCUAUCAGCUUGUUGGUGGGGUAAUGGCCUACCAAGGCGACGACGGGUAGCCGGCCUGAGAGGGUGACCGGCCACACUGGGACUGAGAUACGGCCCAGACUCCUACGGGAGGCAGCAGUGGGGAAUAUUGCACAAUGGGCGCAAGCCUGAUGCAGCGACGCCGCGUGAGGGAUGACGGCCUUCGGGUUGUAAACCUCUUUCAGCACAGACGAAGCGCAAGUGACGGUAUGUGCAGAAGAAGGACCGGCCAACUACGUGCCAGCAGCCGCGGUAAUACGUAGGGUCCGAGCGUUGUCCGGAAUUACUGGGCGUAAAGAGCUCGUAGGUGGUUUGUCGCGUUGUUCGUGAAAACUCACAGCUUAACUGUGGGCGUGCGGGCGAUACGGGCAGACUUGAGUACUGCAGGGGAGACUGGAAUUCCUGGUGUAGCGGUGGAAUGCGCAGAUAUCAGGAGGAACACCGGUGGCGAAGGCGGGUCUCUGGGCAGUAACUGACGCUGAGGAGCAAAAGCGUGGGGAGCGAACAGGAUUAGAUACCCUGGUAGUCC
rnacentral:rRNA from 1 species